rnacentral:snoRNA from 1 species
AAGACUAUACUUUCAGGGGUCAUUUCUAUAGUUUGUUACUAUAUAGCUGCAGAAAAAGUAUUUGCAAAUGUUUUCUCUGAUAUAAGGAGUCUGGGGGCUGGGGA